rnacentral:rRNA from 1 species
UACGUAGGGUGCAAGCGUUGUCCGGAAUUAUUGGGCGUAAAGAGCUUGUAGGCGGUCUGUCGCGUCUGCUGUGAAAAUCCGGGGCUCAACCCCGGACUUGCAGUGGGUACGGGCAGACUAGAGUGUGGUAGGGGAGACUGGAAUUCCUGGUGUAGCGGUGAAAUGCGCAGAUAUCAGGAGGAACACCGAUGGCGAAGGCAGCUCGCUGGGACGGUACUGACGCUGAGACGCGAAAGCGUGGGGAGCAAACAGG